AAUAUUCCAGCAAGUUGCUGUGACUGAAAUCCAACCAUCGUUGUUCCUUGUUCAAAUGAGGGCCUUUUAAACAUUCCACUGGGGGCUUGCAGAGGACGUCUGGAGCUGGUCAGUCAAGAGGCAGCAGGAACUGGUAGCAGAAUCAACAAGAAUUUUUAAAAAGUGGAAAUAUGAGCAGUUCAGAUGCAGUCUACUUUCCUCAUAGCACAUCAGCAAGAGAAUUCCAGGCACAGCACCUGACCAACUUCGGGAGAACAAAGCCUCCAUCUGGACGAAGGGAAAGAGAGCUGGUCGCCCGUGGAGCAGCAAAGAACAAGGCUCUGCUUCCCUUUGAAGCAC